GACCCUGCCCUGUUUGAGUUUCUGUCCUGACUUCUUUCAGUGAUGAACAGCAAUGCUGAAGUGUAAGCCAAAUAAGCCCUUUCCUCCCCAACUUGCUUUUUGGUCAUGGUGUUUUGUCAAAACAAUACAAAGCCUAACAAAGACUGAUGAUAAAGUUGAAAAAAAAAAAAAAAACUUUGCAGAACAUAGAAGGAAAGAGCUUGGGGGGGUGGGUGGUGAGGGUUCAGUCAGUUCAAGAGCAUCAACAUCCAAACAGUAGGCCUUCCAGGAAAAAUAAAAGAAGAAAGUGGAGGGAAAGAAAUGGCAACAUAAUUCCUUUCCAGACAGGCCCUCUGGGGACAUGGGGUACCGGUCCCAAGGUGACCUAAGUGAAAGUGUGUCGUGUGGCCAUAGCAUAAGAUGGAGCACCAAGGAUGGACAAGAACACACAAGUGCCAUCUCACAGCGAACUGGAACAGCUCUGAAUUCAGCAGCAGCCCUGGAAGGCUGGACCCAGUGAGAGGAAGAAAGCAUGACCAGCUAUGAUGGGUUGAAGGCUUACAUCACUGUAGCAGAAUAUUUGAAGGUCAUCACGUUGGAGAAAGGGAUCUCAGCUUUGAACAUUUUCCGGCAGUGCAUGAGCUGCACCAGCAGGAAGUUCAUGGCCACUAUGCAAAGGAGGGGCCACAGAAAGGACAAAGGACCCGAAGUGGCCCGGUCAUCCCCAGAUUGCUGGCUCUCCAGACUCUUACCAACUCUUGUCUCUUCUCCCCCUCCUACAUAUAUGAUACAAAGCCCUGCACCCAAUAUAUCUCAGCCCACAUGGGAGAGCAGGAGGUGAGAACCAUGGUUUCUUUAAAGCUCUGCUGGGCCAGGCUGUUUCAUGACUGAAUGAGGGGGGCGGGCUGUCCACCUUUCUCCGAUGGGAUGGCACAAUAAAGAAGGUCUCGAUGUUGUGAGUUCUCAGGAAGGUGUUCCUCUCGUGGCCAUGACCCGGCUCGACCUCGUAGUCCCCAUUCAAGCACGCGAGGGUCGUCUUUGUGAUGUGAACCUUCCUAUGAGAGAAGGAUGCAAAGCUGAGUGUGAACUCACAAGCGUGGCUGCGCAGGGUCCUGGGUGAGGCACUCUCACUUGGGGUCACAGCAGAGGUUGGGGCACAUGCACUCAUGUUCCAAUGCGUGAGUAACCUGGGAAGAAAGGACUGGAAGGCCCAGGCAAGCCAAGUGAUGGGGUGCACAGCCAGGAAGGCAGGAUCGGGUUGGCGAAAGCCACAAAGGAUCAGGAAGAGCCCCAACGGAGAGAAAGAAACAAUCAGAAGUUUGUAAUAAAGAAGAUGAGAACAAAGCAGAGUGGAAAAAGAAAGGGGAAGACUUCACAGCCAGCCCAAUGAGGAGCUGCAGGUCCUGGAUGCGGGGGCCAGAGGGCAGAGGGCAGUGGAAAAUGCUAAGGGAACCUCCACCUUCUGCUUCUCUGCCAGGCCAGCUCUUCCCUAGAUUUUCUGAAUUCCCUAUAGGAGAAAGCCUUGAGUUCAUGUUCAAACUCUGCAGCUGACUGAGAGACAGGGUAAAUGGUCGGGGCAUGAAUUGACUCUAAAGUCACAGCAUUUUCCAUGCAGAGGUGUGAGAAAAUAAAACACAGAAGUAAUAACAAGGCACGAGAAUACCCCAUGUACCAGGAUAAAGUCCCCAUGCACAUCUGGUCUGACCCACACUGGGUUUCUGCAGAUGUGCACUGGACCUCAGCCAGGUCCUAUGGAGGGUCAAAGGUGAACCUACCCAAGUACCCUCAGGAUCAAAUGCUUGAAAUGAGGACUCUAGCAAAGGCGCUCGGCCACCUUCCACCCAAGCUACAACUUACCCAGGUAAGCCAGCAGCCUCCAUGACAUUGGCCAGGGUCACAUCAUUGGACCAGACAUCGUAUUGCCACUUGCGUAGGCCCAGGACUCCACAGAGGACCCUGCCGGUGUGUAGCCCGACACGCAUGUUCAGGUCCACUUCAGUAGCCUCGGCCACGGAUCUGUAACACAGGUACAGGGCAUGGGGCCGAAGGCUGCCUGGCAGGGACCUCAGUAGGCUGUCACGGCUGCACUGUGAAGCCAUGAGCACAGGGGAAUAGGCUGCUUGGGUUUGUGAUGUGACAGGUACCAGGGUGUCUGAUCAGAGGACAGCAGCACAUCUCUGCCUACCCGUGAGCUAAAAGUCAGCCACAUCGAUGGGCAGCAAACUCUGUGAACUACCCACAUAGCAUCCUCCCGCCCCUCCCCACCCAGGGAAGUCUCCAAGAAGAAAUGAACCCAGGACCUCAACGUAGAUCUUCUGAGGAAACAGUCUGGGGAAGUGGACGAAGGCAGAGCACGUGCAGAAGGAAUUAAGGACUUGGGCACCAGCCAGUCUGGCCAACUGAGGAUACACCACUCUUGGUCCCUGAGACUCAGUGUCCUGGCGUGUGAGUCUGGCUCUGGCAACAUUAGCACUGACAAUGUCUGGAAUUGCUUCAGAGCUCCCCUGGUACACCUCAAUGCAGGAGAUGUAAACCACCUCCUUCCAGCCUUUUCUAUUCCAUUCUUAGAGAACACCAAGGGAUGCUCCACGAGGGACUCUGGGAAGAACACCAUCUCCUUGUCACUGAAGUGGCCUGCCAAUCUUCAAUAAGAGACACUGAAAUGAAACUCCAAUAAGAAAAUCUGCAUUUUCAAACCCACAUGAGCAACAUGAGCAACGUUCGUGGAGACACCUGCCCUUCCUGUUCUGGAGCACAUUCACCAUCUCUGUUUCCGCAGUCACAAAAGCAGGGGCUUCCCUGUGACGUGGACAGACUUGUACAGGACCACGGGCAGCAGAGCGGAGGGAAUCCUGGGGAAAUCCUGCAGCAGAGGGCCUCCCUCUUCUUGGGAUGGCUCCUUCUGCCUGGGAGCUGGUGAAUCAUCCCCUACCGAGGCUGCGGAAAUCCUCCCACUCAGCUACGGCAUCUGAGAGACGCUCAGUCCUCACAACCACCACGUCUCCAUUCACAGCCAGAGAGGACGAAGCGUUCGAGGAAAAUGAAACACCACCCCAGACUGGGAACCAGGAACCCACAAGCUUCUCUCUAGCCUCAGCAACCAGAGGUCCUGGGGUCCAGUCACUCAGGGAACGUGGAGGUCUAGUCCACGGUGGGAGGGGAGGGGUAUAAGCAGAAAGGGGAGGAGGCACAGACCGUGUUGGAUGGGGGAGGAGGGGGAGGAAGACUCAACUACUUCACCACCAGCAUGCCUGCCCUCAUGGACAUCUGGGAACAGAGCUUAGAAGGAGUUAUUUUCUGAGGCCUGAGCAGCAUAGAAAUCCUUAGAUGCCCAUCAAAAUAAGGCCACUGGGGGGUAGAGUGGGAGGUGUCCUCGCCCUUCGGAUACCUGCCAACCCUGGUACAACAGCUGAGGAGAUGGCCCUAAAGCCCCUUCUUCUUGGUAUUGCAUUGCAGGGAUAUAAAAGUGAGGAACACAGAUGCUCUACACUUUAGGGGUCUCUAUCCCAUUCUGGGUCCACUCCAGGGCUGCCUGGGGUUGCAGAAAAACAAUGUCCUCAACCUCUGAACUAAUCAAUGACAAGACAACAGGCAUGGGGGGCCUGAGUUUAAAGGUUAGAAAAGAAAAAUAAAGUGAAUGUUUCUGUCUAUUUUCCCCAUAGGAAUGAACAGUCUUAGGAAGUAAAAUAACCAGAUUGUUAUACAGUCGUUGACAAGGGAAGUGUCCUGACCCCUCCAGCCUGGGGAGAAAUCAGGACCAGUCUAGCAGACUUCUAUCUGCAUUCUCACUUGGAGCAGCGCCUGCCCUGAUGGCACCCUUCCUUGUCUGGCCCAUGCGCCUUCCCUGCACAAGCCCAUCCUAUAUGCACAAGUGUCGGAAUGGACUGCCAUGCUCCCAACAGCCAGCAGUCCUGGCCAGGUUCUGCCAGCAAAGCCUCGUUUGAACUUAACAGCUGAUCAUGGAGACCAGACCCAGCUGGGUCAGAGGAUAGUGGCCUCCCCAUCACCCUUCAUCAUUGCACCAUGCAUCCCAGAGAUGUAUGUGCAGGAAACAGUUCCAGAAUCUUCCAGUAACCAUGCUAGUCUUUGAGUCUCAGAAAAGCUCUCUGUCCAGUCAGAAUUCUCAAACCUACAAAAGACCUAUGGCUCCUGAAAAAUGGGCACUUCAGGCCCACAGACUGAGCUAUUUACUGGUCACUGGGACAUACUGUCCAUCACUCGGGGACAUUUUAAAAAAAGAGGUCAUUUCAGAAUCAAAGAAUCCAAACCGUUGAAGCCCGCUAGCUUCCUCUAGAUACUGGGAGGCACCUCUGGUCCAGAUGGCUCCAGACAGAAGGAAGACGUAGUUAAGGGCAUAGGCACUGCCCCCCACAUUGGGGCAUAUAGCACAAGGCCCAGCAUGGCAUCCUGCACAUGUAUGGGCUCCAGCGCUUCACUGGUUCUCCCGAGGUCUUCUCCAAGAGUCACAGUGUUUCCAAAGCUCCCAGAUGCCCCACUCCAAGGUCAAGAAACAAAACCACAUGAACACCCUGCUUUGCCUGGACAUGCCUGUCCUCUAGAUAAACAUGUUCUGUCUUGUGUGAUUCUGCGCACCCCUCUGAAACAGGGGCACAAGCAGGCUGGUAUGGCCAUCAGGGAAGGUGCCAGUUGCCAUAUGGAAUCUUUCUGGGAGAUCCAGAGGCCAGCCAAUGCUGAGCACACAUGGGCCAUCCCUGGCUCUGUGCAAUUCUCACGGGAAGAAGGGCUGUUAGAUUCUCUUGGAUGAACUCAAGCUGCUUGCUCCUUCCCGUCCAGAGCCAGAAAUUCAGGUCACAGAAAGACUCUAAGCUCAUGGGAUCUCGAGGCUGUAUGACUAUAAGACGGAGUGGAAAGCAGUCCAGGAAGGCAAGGCAAGGCCACCAAGCCCCAGGCUCUCCAGCCUCUCAUGACAGAGACAGAGACACAGAGACAGAGAAUUCCAGCUGAAAUACUGGAGGAACAGUGAGGAGACCAUGAAGCAGAGCAAGUUGGGCAGGGUGGCAAGGUAUCGGCUCAGCCUCAGCAGGUGGAUAUGGCACUCCACAGAAAUGCCUUAGAAUUGAAGCACAUGCCAACUUUAUAAGAGAGACUGGAAAGAAAGGAAGGCCUGCGCCCCAUGUGAGAAAUAAGGCUCCUGAACUCGGAGAGACCAUGGAAAGCUGCCAGAGAACACAGGCAGGAAGGGCAUCCAGUCUGCAGGGUACAAAGCCACUGUGAGCUACCUGGUCACCCCAGUCAGGUGGAGCCCCCACCUAACUUUACCUGGAUCUACAUAGCACACCCUCUGUCUCAGAUCUUCCACCUACAAAGCCUCAUUGUACCUGAACCAGGUCACACAAAACAGGACGUGGUAAAAUAUGCGACCUGUCUAUACAUGAUGCAUGAUGGGAAGUGGAAUGCAGAGUGAUAUACUAUAGCCAUGCUGGCUUCAGAAGGUAGCACAGGCCCUGAUACACUGAGCCUGCCUUCUACAUUUACAGGGACACACCCACUGAGGACACUGCCUCAUUCAUCACAAAGCCCUAACCAGCGGCAUGAGAUGGAGUCACCCAAUGACUGUCUGUCAAAUCCGCAGCUCACCAGCCACCAGGUUUCAUCCAUCACUUCUUCUUUUCUUCCUUUUGUUAUGAGUAUAUACAAAGGUAAAAACAAUGGGUUCCAUUAUGACAAUUUCACACAUGGAUAGAUAGUGUACUUUAAUUCAUCAACUGUUUCCUGAUUUAAACACCAGAGAGAAAAGGAGCCUAAAGACACAAUGAUGCUACCUCAUCUUGGUUUUUCUGGCUUUAAGAAUACAUAUUGUCUUUGCCUCAACAACCUGUCCUGGACUCACGGGGCUCCUGCUGAACAUCAAAUUACCAUACUUGGAGUCAGAGUAUGGUGCCAUUGCAUAUUAUUACAUCAUGUGGCAUACAUAUGUGAUACCCGAUAUAAUAUAUGGCACAAUACAGACACGCACAUGAUAAAUAUGACACAUGGUAUUAGGAUGUGAUACAGGCGAGGGGUGGUGAUGAUGGGGCAGGAUAGGUAACAUGGCAGAGGAUAUGUUGUCUGCUUCCACACAUGAUACAUGAUAAUAUAUCAUAUGCAACUGUGAUCCUUUUAAUUUAUUUUUAUUAUAUGUGUGUGGGUGUUUUGCCCGCAUGUAUGUCUGUGGGCCACAUGCAUGCAGUGCCCACAGAGGCCAGAAGAGGGCAGGUGUCCGAGCCCCUGGAACUGCAGUUUCUGAGCAUUGUGAGCACCUUAUGGGUGCUGGGAAUCAAACCCAGGUCCUCUGGAAAAGCAGCCAGUCCUCUUAACCUUCUGAGCCAUCUCUCCAAACCCUAAUAGUGAUUUGAUGUGACCUGGGACACACAAUAUAACAUCCUUCCAGGGAACAAUAGAUAGUCAUUGCCAGGCAUCUUCCUCUUCUCCCUUCCUUACCCCCCUUGCGGCAGAACACAUUUUCCAGCUGCCUUCCCCCGGGGCAGUGACUCCUGCAUCUAGGGAUUGAUCAUAGGCACCAGGGAACUUCUUCACUCUCAUUUCAUAGAGUGGAGCUCAGAUCAGCUCCUGAGGGCUUCUGGCAGGAGCAGUCCUGGAGAGCUAGUCCCUGCAGAGCCAACUUUGGUGUUCAGGGCAGCCAUAGUGCUGGCUGCUUCCUUACACCUGUCCCCAACUGUGUGGAUGCUGUGUGUGUGCAUGCCUGCACACGGCAGCCACUUGACAGCUUCCUUGAGUAGCUUUUAUGUCAGUACUUUCCACUCUAAGCAUGAACUUUACACCACCACUUCCUGAGAACAGCUCAUGGAAACUACCUGCCACUCCGCUGAGACAUCUACCUUCGUCCAUCAGUCCCACACCUGGAAUACAUCACCAUCUCUGACAAGGCCAGCCGCAGCUGACCAAGAAAAGGUAGGCUGGGUCUCACAGGAGAACCCACUCCACAGGAACUCACAUGCCCAGACUUCGGCCCCCUCUUCCCACAGAGCACCAGAGGCAAUCGGCUACCCAGAAGAACACUGGCUGGCUUUGAAUGGGCUUGUGCCCUCAGCCUUCCUCAGUGCCUCCCCAAGCUCAGUUACAGAGGUCCCUUAUGGGCACACUAGACACACAAAGGAUUUCUGUGCACAGAGCAAUGCAUCAUAAACCGAGAGGAGGGCUCACCAAUGCAUCCCCUCUCAAUGCAAGUGGGUCACUCUGACCCCGCCCCCUCCCAAUGCUGCCUCAGCCUCUGCAGUCGGAGACAGACGUGGUGACGGCGCAACACUUACGUGAUGGUAUCGAUCAUGUCAAGUCCCAUCUCCACACAGCAAUGGGCGUGAUCAGUCUUGGGCUGGGUGAGGCCCGACACACAGUAGUAGCAGUCCCCAAGGAUCUUGAUGCGGCGACAGUGGUUUUCCUUUGGGGAAAGCACAGCACAAGAUCAUUGCAGAGUUGCUGCUGGAUUUGAACAGAAGUAUCCUGCAUAGGUGGACAACAUGCUUCCAGAAGACAUGGGUUAUUAAAUGAAAUUUUCAGUGCCAA